UAUACAUUCACUCUAUAGAAAUAUAUUUAGUGUUUUACAAAGUGAAUUUAUAGUUGAUGUUUUCUUCUCACUAAUAUUUAUUAUACUCACUAAAUGUAUGCAUAUAUGUAUAUAUAAUAGAAAGUUUGACUGUCUUUAGCUGCAAAAUAAGCCUUGUAUAAGGUACACCGACAAAAUGGGAUACUGCAGUUUCUAAACUUCGCAGGUGUGUGUGUGUGGGGGGGAGGUGGGGGAGGGAGAGAGAGAGGGAGAUGGAGAGAGUAGGUCAGAAAGAACACUGGACACUGAAGUACUGUCCCUUUUAUUUUUGUUUCCAUUUUGACCUCAGUUAAUUCAGUAGUGGGGCUGUUUCUUCCUUCUUUGCUUUGUUUCGGGUGCUUUCUUUGCCAUUCCCUGCUUCUUUACUUUCACUGUAGAAUAAACCCAGAACAUAUUUUUCUUGAUGCUACUAUACAUUAAUACCAGAGUGUUUUUGUUUGAUGCAGUAUUACAAUAUUACAGAAUAUAUUGCCUUUUCAUCAAAGCUUCUGAUUAAUUGGUGAUAGAUUUGUCCACUGAGAAAAUCACUUAAAUAUUUCUUAUAAUUCUUGUAAUUAAUUUCAUGUGAUGAAAGACAUCAGCCAAGAAUACCUUUAUGUCACUGAGUUAAACAGCAUACCAUCAUAGGAGCUAUGGACUUUUUAUGUUUUUUGUAUAGGACAUUUCUCUUAAGAUAGUGAAUUGUCAAUGAAAUAUGAGCAUUUUAAAUGUAAAAAUAGUACUCAUACUCUUUUUCUCAAAGAAAAUUUCAGAACUGUUAACUUUUGGCUGAAUUUAGGUAGUGUCUUUGGCUUAACAAUGCAGUUUUAUCAAAUAAAUAGAUUUGCAUAGAAUUGUGUUCAGUAAUACUCAGACAACACUUUUGUUCUUAUGUCCACAUUAUGAUAAGCUUUUGAUUUUAUAGAAAAAUAUUUGUGGUUCACUAAGGAAUCUAUAAAUGUCCUUAAAUUAUCCUAAAUACCUAAAAUAAUGUAGGUUUCUUUUUUAUGGAUAGUGACUGAUGUGCCUUUUAGUUUCUUUCUUUUUUUUUAAAUUUUCCAAACACCAACUUGAACCCGAAUGCCUUUUAGUUUUUCCAUGUUGGCAUUUAGUGAAUUCUCUCCCACUUAGGUGUAUCUCAUAUUUUUAUUAGGUCUAGGCAAGGACUGGGCAAAGCAUACCAAUGAUGGUUGAGGAUACAUACUCUUUUAGUUCUGGGGUAAUGUUAAAUAUCAUUGAGUCAGGCUUAAACAUAUGUAAUUUCAGAAAAUGAUUCUAGAAUGUUAAAUGUGGAAUUUUUGAUUCAGUAAUGUAAAAGUCAAGUAUUGUUCCCAGUUGGCUCCGUAUGAAAUAGGGCCACUAGCUGACAGCAUUAUGUAAAAUAAAAAUAAUUUCCUAAAGGCAUCAAUUAUUAUUUUAGGCAUGAAUGACUGUCUUAGCCUUCUCUAACAUUUUUUCCCAUCAACUUGUUCCAUACCCCGUGUUGUUGUUGCAUGAACAAACGGAAAUAUUGCAUAUUCAGGGUGUUUUUUCACUGUUGUCUCUUGUUUGGUAGAAAGGUUUAAGACUUUGGAAUGAUACUCACCUGCAUUUGACUUCUGGCUCUGAAAUUCAUCUUGAGCAAUUUGUAUCAUCUCUAUGAACCUCAACUGUUUUCAUCUCUUAGGGCUGGCUGUGUUAUAAAGAAAGUACGUACAUACUGCAUGGCUGAGAGUUGAUAUGCAAUAAAAGUUAUUAAUUAUUACUGGCGAUGAGUACCUAUAUAACCUCUUUUGGUUUUUUCCUAAUAAAGAAGAUAAUAUUAUUAGGAUUAUUCUGUCUUAUACUAUUUUAAUUGAACUAACAGGGCAGAAAAAUUAGAUAAAAUUAGCAAAAUAGCUGUUUAUUAAAAUGCCUCAUUAUAAAUGUUGCCUUAAAAACCUGGAUAUAUUGCUGAGUGAUAGAAGUGGUGACAAAAAUAAGACCUCUUAAAAUAUGUUGUUUUGUGUACCUUUUAUGUUUACUUUUUAUUUUAACAGAAAAAUCUAUAUAGAUGUUUCAUUUAAUGAUAAAUUGGUAAAGUCCUGUUCCAAUAAAGUAAAUAUUGAUUAUGACUUUUAUAUAAUCUUGGACGUAAAGUAACCAUGGACUGAAAAAGUGAUUUUUCACUUGAUGCCUCAAAAAUUUGAUUUUAUUAUGCCAAUAGUGAUAUUGAGUUUGUGACUAGAAAACCCAGCAGAGGGCGCCACAAUCAUAAUUCUUUGUCAUAGCCCAAUAUAAUUAGGAUAAAUAGCUCAAAUAAUAACCCUAAGCUUUUACCAUGUAGACAUAUAAAGAUGUGUCUAAACAUUUCUAUUUGAUUCAUUUAUAAUAUAUUUAAUAUAUUCAGUAAUUCAAAAAUACAAAAAAAUAGAUUUUUCCUGGCCGAUUUUUUAAUUUUUAAAAAUAUCAGUUUAAUUUUUCUACUUCUAGCUUUAAAUAAAGAAGUACUUUUGAUAGAGAGUGAAAGUUCCAUACAAGAGUAUCAGUUCAUAAAUCACCACCAUGGUAGUAUGUUAAAGGACAAUUAGAAUGAGGAAAAAAGUUUCUAAUAGAUGAGAGAACCAAGAGAUGGAAUUAUCUAUUUAUUUUAAGAAUUUGUUUCUAGGUUAAUAAUGCUUCCUAGUAAUAGAAAAAACAGCUUAACUAAAACAUUUUCUAGUCACAAAAACCUGAUAUGUGUAGAUACAGUAAAAAAAGGUAUGGUCAUGGUUUAGUAGAACCAUUAAUUUCAAUUGUAAGUUCAUUUUGAAUAUCAGGGGAUGAUUAUAUUCAUUGCAAAUUUUCAGAGAUGAAAGGAUCAGUCUUACCUUCUGAAUUGGUUUAUGCUCUAAGUGAAAAGACGUGGAAAAAUCUCUUUAAUUUUGGAAAAUAAACCUCUAGAUAACUUAUUUACUAUUAGAAAAGAUAAUUUUUUUGUAUUUACUUUUUUGUAUAGAAGUUUUGUGGUUUUAAAUGUAUGAACUGCAAAGUGUUUUAUAUUUUUGAGGUAACUUUUCAUUGCUUGAAUUUCUUCGAAUGUUGUGGGAAGAAAUUAAGAGGAAUCUCGUACAGAAUGAAUCACGUCUGCGUAUUGAUUUAUUGCUGUGUGAUAUACGACCCAACCUUCUUUUUAUAUAUUUAUAUUUACUAUGGUGGAAAACAAACCAUUUUGAAAGUGCUUACCUUUAACUAGGAAUAGCCAGUAUCUUCGAGAAAGCGUAUUUUUGAAACAUACUUAUUUGAGUUAAAAUUGUGAAAUGCAUUUAAAAAUUGAAAUUGAAAGUAGAACUACUGGAGAAGUUUUAAAUAUUUAUUGGAACAGAAAGAGCAAUCUCCACAAGUGUUUAUUAAGUUCCUAUUAUGUGCUGUCCUGCAUUUUCAAUUCUCAAAUGAUUUAUCAACUU